GGUGGAUGACUUGGCUCGAAAUGCCGAUGAAGGGCGUGACAAGCUACGAAAUGCUCUGGGUAGUAGCAUGUAUACUAUGAACCAGAGAUCCCUUAAUUGGACUUCCUAUUAUAAUCCGAAAGGAUAGGGAACGCAGGGAAUUGAAACAUCUUAGUACCUGCAGGAAAAGAAAUCAAUUGAGAUGCUGUUAUUAGAAGCGAUCGAAAACAGCAAAGAGCAAACUGAAUCUUGCGCAGUAAUGUGUAAGAGAUGUGGGGUUGCAAGACUUCUUUUUAUUCCUGCUAAUUAGUGUGAAAAUACCUGGAAUGGUAUGCCUUAGAGGGUGAUAGCCCCGUAACAGGACAUUAGUAGGAAGUAGAAGUAUCUUGAGUAUUGUCUAUUGGAUAUUAGGCAAGAAAUUGGGAGGCAUCAACUUCCAACUCUAAAUACGUUUCGAGUCCGAUAGUGCACCAGUACUGUGAAGGAAAGUUGAAAAGAACCCUUAGCAGGGAGUUAAAAGACUCUGAAACCUAAUAGCUACGGUGGGAUAGGGCACUAAGGUGUUCUAUCGUACGUUUAGAAUAACGUGCCAGGGAGUGUAUUUGAGUGGCGAGGGUAACAAAAAGGUACCCGUAGGGAAACCAAUAAAUCCGCAGGCAACGAGGGAUUGGGUGUGAAAGCGCCUUGAGUCACUUAAAUACGACCCGAAGCCAGGUGAUCUAACCCUGAGUAAGGUGAAGCAGCUGUAACAGGUUGUGGAGGCCUGAAGAGGUGCUACGUACAAGUGUUCUUAUAACUUGGGGUUAGGGGUGAAAAGCCAAUCGAACCUGGUGAUAGCUGGUUCCUACUGAAGUUGGCCGUAGUCAAGUCCUGAACGAGAUUGCUAAGACGGUAGAGCUACGGAUAGAAGAUUUAGGGGGAGAAAUCCCUCGGUUUUCUGUCCAACUCCGAAUGUCUUCGCAUUGUAGACUUCAGGAAACGGCGGCUCGUCGUAAGGGUGAGUCGCGAGAGGGGAACAACCCAGACUAAAGUUAAGGUCCCAAAAUACUAACUAAGUGUGAACGGGUGAAGGGUGUCUACGUUCAAAGACAGCGAGGAGGUUGGCUUAGAAGCAGCCAUCCUAUAAUAAGUGCGUAACAGCUUACUUGUCAAGAAUGUAGGCCCCGAAGAUGGACGGGACUAAGUUAGUUACCGAUACUUUAGGCAUCCGAAAGGAUUGCGGUAAGUAGGCGUUCUGUAUGGGCAAAAGCUCCUUUGCAAGAAGGUGUGAACCGUAUAGAAAUGAGAAUCCUGGCGAAAGUAAGAUCAAAGUAGUGUGAGAUUCACUAUCACCGAAAGGGUAAGGGUUCCUUGACAAUGUAGUUCAGUCAAGGGUAAGUUAAUCCUAACCGUACUCAUAAUUGACGUACGGGAAAGGGAAAAAGGUUAAUAUUCCUUUACUUUUUAGGUACGUGUGGUAACACAAGUUCUACUACUGACAUUUUUGGAUAGACCAACACAUCUCGUCUGGUGUGUUAACUAAGACAAGUCAAGGGAGAAUCGUAAUGAUGAGAACUUGACUAAACUUAGGAAUAGCGGGUUUUUGAUUCGUUUGGUUGAUUCCUGGAAUCCGUGAAAAAGAAGUAGAAAAGAAUCCUAAAAAUUUAUACCCAGAACCGGCACAGGUACCCAAGGUGAGAAGCCUAAGGUGUCAGGGUUUAACGUAGUUGAGGGAAUUCGGCAAAUUAGCCCCGUAUCUUCGGUAUAAGGGGUCCCUAUGUUUGUAUUCGCAUGAAUGCGAUCAUAGGGCGCAGUGACAAAGAUGGUCCGACUGUUUAACAAAAACUUAACCUCCUGCUAGUCCGUAAGGAUGCGUACAGGAGGUGACGUCUGCCCAGUGCCUGUACUUGAAACUCGGGUUCAACCGAGCUAAGAGCAGGUAAACGGCGGGGGUAACUAUAACUCUCUUAAGGUAGCGAAAUGCCUUGCCGUUUGAAUGACGGCCUGCAUGAAUGGCGUAACGAGAUCAUCACUGUCCCCAACUACAAGCCCCUGAACACUCUUUUCUGGUGCAAAGGCCAGAGAUUUCCAGUGGGAAGCGAAGACCCCGUGAAACUUUACUGUAGCUUGUUGUUGCGGCGUGAAUUUUGUUGUAUAGUGUAAGUGGGAGUCGUUAUGUUGCGAUCGCCAGAUCGUAAAUAGACGCCGUUGUAACACCACUCUUCAAAAUUUGCGUUGCUUACUCUAAUAGAGGACAUCGGCAAGUGGACAGUUUGGCUGGGGUGGCACGCCGUCGAAAUUGUAUCGAUGGCGCCCAAUGGUUGGCUCAGGUGGGUCAGAAAUCCACCUUAGAGUGCAAGAGCAAAAGUCAGCCUGAUUGGAUUUGGCACAUAAACAAAUCCAAAAACGAAAGUUUGGUCUAGCGAACUUCCAUUCCUCCUUGAUGGGGGUUGGAAAUGACUGAAAAGUUACUCCGGGGAUAACAGAGUUGUCGCGCCCGAGAGUUCAUAAUUGGUGCUUGUAAACAAUAAUAAUUACAAACAUCAAAUGAAUUAAUCGACGGCGCGGCUUGCUACAUCGAUGUCGGCUCUUCCUAUCCUGGUUGUGCAGAAGCAGCCAAGGGUGGGGGUGUUCACCCAUUAAAAGGGAUCGUGAGCUGGGUUCAGAACGCUGUGAGGCAGUUUGUUUGAUAUCUACUGGAAAUGUUGAAUGUCUGAGUGGAAGGAUUCUCUAGUACGAGAGGAACGAGAGUUCGAGGCCUCUGGUCUACCGGUUAUCUGACAAGGUAUCGCCGGGCAGCUACGCCUUAAGGGAUAAAUGCUGAAAGCAUCUAAGCAUGAAGCCUGCCGCAAAAAGAGACAUUCUCAAACUCGAGUAAAAGA
rnacentral:rRNA from 1 species